AAAAAGGCCCUUUUCAGGGCCAUACAAAAAUGAAUAAGUUAGGUUG
rfam:Lasius niger Lnig_2.1_8490, whole genome shotgun sequence.